UGUUGCUCCGGCCCUCAGAUGGUUUAUCUGUAUAAGCUUUAAGCGUUCCAACAAAACAGGCAAUGCCAAUGCUAAUUUCUUUAAAGUCGAAGACUACUGGAUCCGCAAGCUGGUUGAGUGGAAGGAGAAACCAUUGUCUUUAAACAUCAGGGGAACAAAAUUUAGAAAAUAUCUCCAAGGUACAAGAAACUUAAUUCUUGCCUUCAGCAUAAGAAGUCAGAUUCUGGUUGUCUCAAUGAGCAAAUUUGUGCG
rnacentral:misc_RNA from 1 species